GACGAACGCUGGCGGCGUGCUUAACACAUGCAAGUCGAACGGAAAGGCCCUGCUUUUGUGGGCUGCUCGAGUGGCGAACGGGUGAGUAACACGUGAGUAACCUGCCCUUGACUUUGGGAUAACUUCAGGAAACUGGGGCUAAUACCGGAUAGGAGCUCCUGCUGCAUGGUGGGGGUUGGAAAGUUUCGGCGGUUGGGGAUGGACUCGCGGCUUAUCAGCUUGUUGGUGGGGUAGUGGCUUACCAAGGCUUUGACGGGUAGCCGGCCUGAGAGGGUGACCGGCCACAUUGGGACUGAGAUGCGGCCCAGACUCCUACGGGAGGCAGGAGUGGGGAAUAGUGCACAAUGGGCGGAAGCCUGAUGCAGCAACGCCGCGUGCGAGAUGACGGCCUUCGGGUUGUAAACCGCUUUCGCCUGUGACGAAGCGUGAGUGACGGUAAUGGGGAAAGAAGCACCGGCUAACUACGU
rnacentral:rRNA from 1 species